rnacentral:lncRNA from 1 species
AGCCAUGCUGGCCACCUGAUGGGGCCACAGGCACUGAGACCUGUCCUUGGUCAGCCAGCAUUGGGAGAGGUUUGGGGAGCGUGUGCUUGAGAGAGGGCCGUCAUGCAAGAGGGGUCCAUCAGCAUUGAGGGAGGGGAGGCCUGGGGAUAAGAAGGAUGAGUAGAUGCUCCCCAGGGGUGGGGAGAGCCCGGCAGCCUUCCAGUACAGUCAUCUCCAGGACUGCAGAGAAAGCUGCUUCCUGUUCUGGGCUCUGUCAUACCCCCCUUCAUUACUCCCCAGCCUCAAUCAGAUUCCAUGACACACAACAGCAUCCUGUUAGCAGUGCUUGGGGGAAUGAAGACAGAGGGUGGUGACUACAUGAGAGGGAAGGACAAAAAGAGGGGGCAGCAGCCCAGGUGGGGAGAAACAGGGGGCAGGCUUCAGGGAGUUUGAGACAAACUCCCUUUUCUCAAAAAGAAAGGGAAAGAGGAGCAACGAAAUACAGGGAGGCUAGCCAAGGGGAAGACACAGGCAAUGAUAAUUGUCAUGUACUCUUUUCUGAGCAACAGCUCCCUCACAUAGAGCAGGAAUCCCGUGGCUCUUUAAGGAGGAGGUAUAAGACACUGAUUCUGAAUCGACCCUACAAGGGCUGGGGUGGCAGGCAUUCCAGGCAGAUCUUAGAUGAUGAGGCUUAGAGAGGCCCAAGGUUACGCAGCUCAAACAUGAAAGAGACGGGGUUGGAACGUGGCUCCACCUGACUUCCAAGGGCAGCAUGUCUCUUAUUGCACCACAAGGCUGCCCGUGAUGCUGUUGCCUCCAGCUCUGGCAGGGCAACAUGGAGUCCUGACCCACAAACAGUCCUGUCCUUCUCUUAUCACUGCUGAAGCUCCAGGACUCAGCCAUUAUGAAAUCCAACCAAGCUUCUGGUGCCAGCAUCUGAGGACAGCUCUCAGGCUGCUGAAACCCACUUUGCCUGUGUGCAUGGAGAGCUGGAAAUGCCUGGGAUGUGCCUCUUCCUGGGGCUACCUGUGACUAAUGACUGAUCAAUCCCCAGCUUCCCCCACCCCCAGACACUCUGAGGUGUCACCUGCCCUAUCUCCAGAGCUCACCUGGGGGAAACAGCCAAAGUUACCCUCCAGGCAGGAUGUCACACUCCUGCUUCUUGGUCCUACUUUCCCACUUGCCUACCCGUUUUUCCAGGGAACAAUUGCUAAUAAAUCUUUUUCAAAUGAAUUGCUUCCAGAUGAAUCCUCAUCUCAGGGUUGGCUUUGGGGAACUCAAACUAAGACAGUUAUAUUAACAAAUCUAAUUGCUGAGCCUCCAAAGCUGAGAACCAGCAGACUGGUUCCAUGGGCUGAAUUUGGCCAGCAGUUGUAUUUUGUUCAGCAUGCCUCC